rnacentral:rRNA from 1 species
GACGAACGCUGGCGGCGUGCCUAAUACAUGCAAGUCGAACGCAGUUGCGAACGGGUGAGUAAAUCGUCUGUAAAUGCCUCCUAGCGUGGGAUAACUAUUGGAAACGAUCGAUACUACCGCAUCCUGUGCGAUGGACCUGCGGUGUAUUAGCUAGUUGGUGAGGUCAAGGCUCACCACGGCGACGAUACAUAGCAGACCUGAGAGGGGGAUCGGCCAAACUGGUACUGAGACACGGCCCAGACUCCGACGGGAGGGAGCAGUAGGGAAUCUGCGGCAAGGGACGGAAGUCUGACCGAGCAACGCCGCGUGAGUGAAGAAGGUUUUCUGAUCGUAAAGCUCUGUUGUUAGAGAAGCGGUAACUAACCAGAAAGGGACGGAUAACUACGUGCGAGCAGCGGCGGUAAUAC